UACGUAGGGGGCUAGCGUUGUCCGGAAUCAUUGGGCGUAAAGCGCGUGUAGGCGGUCCGGUAAGUCCGCUGUGAAAGUCGGGGGCUCAACCCUCGGAUGCCGGUGGAUACUGUCGGGCUUGAGUACGGAAGAGGCGAGUGUAAUUCCUGGUGUAGCGGUGAAAUGCGCAGAUAUCAGGAGGAACACCAAUUGCGAAGGCAGCUCGCUGGGACGUUACUGACGCUGAGACGCGAAAGCGUGGGGAGCAAACAGG
rnacentral:rRNA from 1 species